AGUGGAACACAGCCAUGAUACUUCAUCAUUACCACUAUGCCUUAUCAACGUGUAGAACAUUCCAUGACCUAGACUGACCCGGUGAAAGCUAUGAUCCCUUAUUGAUGUCACUUGAUCAAUCCACUUCAAUCAGUGUAGAUGAAGAGGAGGAGACGAGUUAAAUAUAUAUAUUUUUUAAGCCUUAAGACAAUUGAGACAUGGUUUGGUGUAUGUGAGCCAUUCAGAGGGUGAAUGGGCAGGACAAAAUAUUUAAGUGUCUUUGAACGGGGUAUGGUAGUAGGUACCAGAUGCACCGGUUUGAGUCAAGAACUGCAACGCUGCUGGUUUUUUCACACUCCCAACAGUUUCCUGUGUCUAUCAAGAAUGGUCCACCACCCAAAGGACAUCCAGACAACCUGACAGGACUGUGGGAAUCAUUGGAGUCAACAUGGACCAGCAUCCCUGUGGAACACUUUCAACACUUUAUAGAGACCAGGCCCUGACGAAUUGAGGCUGCUCUGAGGGCCGAAGGGUGGCCCACUCAAUAUUAGGAAGGUGUUCCUAAUGUUUUGUACACUGUGUAUGUCGUUAAUCAGAAUGAAUCAGUCAUGGUACUUCUAGGGGUGUAGUCCUGCUGGAGCGCUGCUCCCUCACCUUCUUCAAUCUGAGAAGACACGGAGCUGGUAAAACCAAUUCUGGGAAAUUUAAUUCUGAUCAAUAAUAAUUAAUUACUACUAAAAUUAAAUGAAAAAUGAUAGAAUGACAAACCCUGAAAUCUGUACAGCAGUCUAGAGGUAAAUUAAUGAUGGUUUCUUCUCUCUCUGUACAGCAGUCGAGGUUAAUGAUGGUUUCUUCUCUCUCUGUACAGCAGUCGAGGUUAAUGAUGGUUUCUUCUCUCUCUGUACAGCAGUCGAGGUUAAUGAUGGUUUCUUCUCUCUCUGUACAGCAGUCGAGGUUAAUGAUGGUUUCUUCUCUCUCUGUACAGCAGUCGAGGUUAAUGAUGGUUUCUUCUCUCUCUGUACAGCAGUCUAGAGGUUAAUGGUCUUCUCUCUGACGCUGGCGAAAAUGUUGAACUAUAGGCUAUAUCUGUCCACUGCAAAAUAUAUAUAUAUAUAUAUAUAUAAAUAAAUAUAUAUAUAAAUAUAUAUCUAAAUAUAUUUUCACCAUGUGUCUGCCUUGAUACUCAUAAAACUCCACGGACCUCCUCAGUGGAACCCAGAACGAAAUGUGACCACUUGGUUACGGCGACACACAAACCAGCGUUGAGCCUGACCCUAUCUGGAAGUUGGUGUAACCCUGCUUGGAAUAUUUAGCUGCUAUUGGUUGAGAAUGAUGCAUGACCUGUUUCUAGAUUGGUCAAGUUGGAGGUCAUCAGGCAUUUAGGUUCUAGUUUAUUGAGAUGCAUGAAUACACCACACCAAAAUAUAGAUUUUUUAUGUCAGUUUUAAAAUAGAUUUCCUGUAAUUCUACACAGUAAUGAUUUAUGUCCACUACUUGAUGAAUUGGUUUGAUUUAAUCUAUGCAAAUAAAUUAAAAUAAAUAAGUCACCUCUUUUAA